rfam:Plasmodium ovale wallikeri genome assembly, contig: contig99
UUAAAAUGAUGAUUAACUUAAGCGAUGGGCGGACUGAAAGAAAGUCAGAGCUUAUAUAUGUAGAAAAUCGCAUAAACUGAUAAGA